rnacentral:lncRNA from 1 species
UUUUUUUUUUUUUUUUUGGUUGGAUGGUCUCCUGUUAUUAUGUGCUUGAGUGUAUUUUUUUUUUCAUUUUUUGCAAAUGCAAUAUUUGGUUUUGGCUUGUGGUUGCCCUGUUUUUUAAGUAUGCUAACCCCUUCCCAUAGUUGUGUGUUUUAGCCUGAUGGUCCUGUAAGUUCAAACACUUCAUUAGUAUAUUAAAAUUAGGAAGAGAGACAUACAAACAAACAAAAAGGGUUAUUUACUUCCUAACAUCCCUUGCCCACAUUUUAUGGUUUUGAUGACUCUUUUUUAUUUUUUUCUUUUUAAUUUUAUUUUGUUUGAAGCAUGUUCAUGAUUAAAUCUGUAUGCUGGCUUAUUGGAGUGACUGUUCUCUGAUUUCGGUUUACUCAGUCCUAGUUCUUCCUCUUCUUCAUCUUUUUUUUUUUUCUUUACUUUUUUCUUCCCUUUCCUUCCUUUCUUUUUGGUUUAAAGAAGCCCUUUCAAUAUUUCCUUUAACCUGGGUUUCGUGUUGCUGUAUUCUUUUAGUUUUUGUUUGUUGGAAAAAAUUUUUAUUUCCCCUUCUAUUUUAAAUGAUAUUCUUGCUGGAUAGAGUAUUCUAGGUUGCAUAUUUUUUCCUUUUAGCAGUUUAAAUAUCUCUUGCCAUUCCCUCCUGGCCUGUAGUGUUACUGUAGAGAAAUCAGCUGAUAUUCUUAUGGGGGUUCCCUUGUAGGUAACAUUCUGUUUUUCUCUUGCUGCCUUUAGGAUCCUCUCUUUAUCACUAACUUUUGCCAUUUUUAUUAUGAUGUGUCUUGGUGUGGGUCUAUUUGGGUUCAGUUUGUUUGGGGCCCUCUGUGCUUCUUGUAUCUUGAAUCCAGUAUCCUUUAGAUUUGGGAAGUUUCCAUCGAUAAUUUCUUCAAAUAUAUUUUCCAUCCCCUUAUCUUUUUCUACUCCUUCUGGAAUUCCUAUUAUGCAUAGAUUGGCCCACUUUAUAUUAUCCCAUAGGUCUCUUAUAUUGCUUUCCAGUUUUUUGAUUCAGUUUUCUGUCUGUUGACCGGAUUGAGUGAUUUCCAUUAUUCUGUCUUCCAUAUCACUGAUUCGUUCUUCUGCAUUAUUCAUUCUGGUUUUUACUGCCCCUAGUUCAGUUUGCAUCUCUGCAAAUGAAUGUUCUAGCUUUUCUUGGCUCCUCCUUAUAUUUUCUAGUUCCUUUCUGAGGGUAUCUGCAUUACUGUUCAUAUCUUCUCUUAAUUCCUUCAGUAUUUUCACUAUUUCUCUUUUGAACUCCAGGUCUGUCUGACUGCAGAGAUCUGUUUCAUUGUUGACUGUUUUAGGUGAGUCCUCCUGUUGGUUUGACUGGGGGUGGUUUCUCAGCUUCUUCAUCUUGCUUGUUGUUUUCUUUCUCCUGAGGGAGUUGUACUCUCCGUUAUCGGGCAGUGUUUGCCUUGUCACUGCCGUGGAAUAUUUCCUGAGGGCUGUCGUUGUUGGUCAAUCUUUUUUGAGGCAGUGUGGCUUUUCUGGAGUGUUGAUGGGGCUAACAGUGUUUCUUUGAAGCAAAGGAGGACUUCCUGAGGGCAGACAGGACUGGGAGGUCCACACCAUGAUGGUAGCAGAUUUCACUUGGUCAUGCAGAGCUUGCUCUGGUGUUUUUAGGCUGUGGGGUUCUUGCAGGGGGUUGGUGGUGUUGGGCAGCUGCUCCUCAGGAGUGCAGCACCCCCUGGGGGCUGGAGCAGCUAUCUGGGUCACUGAGAACCUAAGAGGCUCUUCCCUAGGGCAGCCCAACUCAGAAGGACAGCCUGAGAAUGUAGGCGGAUCUUUUCACAGUCUGGCCGAGCUUGUUGCAGCUUUUCUGGGCUGCAAGGGCUCUUCCAGGGGGCUGGUGGUGCUAAGCAGUUAUUUCACGGUAGUGGGGCACCCCCUGGGGGCUUGGGCGGGUAGCAGGGCCAUUGGAGACCCAAGAGGCUCCUCCCCAGGGCAGCCUGACUCAGAAAAACCGUCUGAGAUUUUUUCCCGACUCAGCCAGGCUUGUUGCAGCUUUUCUGGGCUGCAGGGGGUCCUGCCUGGAGCUGGCAGUCCUAUGCAGCUGGUCCACUAGGGUACCUCCUGGGGGCUUGGGCGGGUAGCAGGGCCGUUGGAAACCCAAGAGGCUCCUCCCCGGGGCAACCCGACUCAGAAAAACCGUCUGAGAAUUAUGCCAAUCUAUUCACAGCCUGGCUUGUUCUGGCUUGUGGGCUGCAGGCCUUUUCUCGGGGGCUGGUGGUGUUUGGUACUGCUCUGCGGAAGUGUAGCCCCUCCAAAGGGCAAGCAGGCCUGUGCAGGGACAGCCCCUGUGGUGGUAGGCUUCAGGCAAUUGUUGAGGCCAGCCCUCCUGGAUGGCAGGCAGCCCCAGGUCCCUCCAGUGUAGGGGUGGCGGGGGUGGGGGGAGGGGAUGCACUGGGAAGCACAGCUUUCAGCUAGCUAGCGGGCCUGUAAGCUUGCUGUGGCGUGGGGGGUAUUCUAUGGGGACCCACCUCUUCUUCUCUCCCCUCCCCAGCAUGGGCGCAGACCAGGCUCUUCUCCCAGGUUCCCUCUGAUGCGGCUUUCCACUUCCCAGCUGCUAGAGUAUUGUUCCCUUCCUCUGCCACAGCUUUGUUUUCUAGUCUCCCAGACAGUCUCUGCCCCGUCAAAUGGUUUCUAGAUCUCCCAAGCAGUUUCCGCUCUGCCCCGCCCCCCCAGCCCGGGACUAACCUCUGGAGCCAAGGUCUCGGUACCCAGCCCCCACCCAGGCGUCCCCCGGCCCUUUCUCGGGGACUAACCUUCGGAGGCGAGGUCUCGGUGCCCAACCCCCACCCAGGCAUCUCAAUUUUUGGUGACUGUGCCCGUAGUUCAGAUGGUCCGUUGGGUUCUUGAUCGGCUUUUCUGUACUCCAACUUACUGCUACACUCUUCUCUGCAUCUGGAGAUUCCUCUGGUUCGUUUGAUCUUUCCCCAGGUAGGUGAUUUUCCAGGGUGCGGGAUCGCUUUCUCCUCCGCAGUUCCCUUUCGGGAGCGCCCGUCCCGCUCGGAUUCACCUUCUCUCACUCUCCUCUUUUCUCCCGUUCUGCCCAAUAAUGUCACGAACUUCUUGCCGUUAUUGGAGUUUAGGUUCCUCUGCCAGCGAUUGGUUGCUGUUCUGUGCGAGUCAUUUAUUCUGUAGAUGUGCUUUUUUUGUUGUGUUUGUGGGAAAGGGCAAGCGUGUCCCCCUACUCCUCCGCCAUCUUGUCCUCUCUCAGUUUUUUUUUUUAAUUAGCAGUUUUCUACACUCUUUAACUAUCUUUUAAAAUUGAAGUAUAGCUACUUUACAAUGUUAUACACAUGUGUGUACACAUAUUUAUAUAUACUUUUUUCAUAUUCUCUUACAUUAUAGGCUUUUGCAUGAUACUGAAUAUGCUUCUCUGUGCUAUGCAGCAGCUCCUUGUUGUUCAUCUAUUUUACAUAUAGUGUAUAUGUUAAUCUCAUACUCCUAACUUGUCCACUUUGAUAACUAUAACUUUGUGUUCUAUAUCUGUGGGUCUUUUUCUGUUUUGUAAAUAAAUUCAUUUGUUUCAUUUUUUGUAGAGUCCACAUAUAAAUAAUAUGAUAUGCUUCUUUGAGUUACUUAAGUAUGAUAACAUCUAGGUCUAUCUAUGAUGUUGAAGCAAAUGGUAUUAUUUUAUUCUUUUUUAUGACUGAUAUUCCAUUGUGUAUAUACUACAUUUUCUUUAUCUGUUAAUCUGUUGAUGGACACUUAGGUUGCUUCCAUUUCUUGACUGUAUUGUAAAUAGUGCUGCUAUGCUCAUUGAGGUGCAUGUGUAUUUUUGAGUUAGAACUGAGAGGGAUAGCAGGGUCUUAUAGUAACUCAAUCUUAACUUUUUAACGAAAUCUCCAUACUGUUCUCCAUAAUGGCUGCACCAAUUUGCAUUCCCACCAACAGUGGACAAAUGUUGCCUUUUCGCCACAUCCUUAGCAACACUUUAAAUUUCUUGUCUUUUUGAUCAUAGUUCUAACUGAUGUGAGGUGAUAUCUAUGUUUUUUUGGUUUUUUUAACUUGCCUUUCCCUGAUUAUUCGUGACAUUGAGUGUGUUUUAAUGUACCUGUUGGCCAUUUGAAUAUAUUCUUUGGAAAAAUGACUAUUUGGGAACUUUGCUCAUUUUUAAUUAGAUUUUUUGUGUGCUCUUGAGUUGUAUGCAAUCCCUGUAUAUUGUGGAUAUUAACCUCUUAUUAGAUAGAUGGUUUUCAAAUAUUUUCUCCCAUUCUGUAGGUUGCCUUUUCAUUUUGCUGAUCAUUUGUUUUUGUUGUGCAGAGCUUUUUAGUGUGAUAUAAUCUCACUUUUUUUUUUUGCUGCUUAUGCUUUUGAUAUUAGCUAUUUUUAUUUUUUUUUAUUUUAUUUUUGCUUUUUAGGGUUGCACCUGUGGCAUGUGGAAGUUCUCAGGCUAGGGGUCAAACUGGAGCUUCAGCUGCUGGCCUACGCCAUAGCCACAGCAAUGUGGGAACCAAGCCACAUCUGCAAACUACACCACAGCUCAUGGCAACACCGGAUCCUUAACCCACUAAACAAGGCUAGAGAUCAAACCCACAUCCUUAUGGAUACUAGUCAGUUUCAUUACCACUUAGCCACAAUGAGAAUCCUGACAUUAGGUAUUUUAAAAUGGUUUUCUACUUUUUUAAUAUCUCAAGCUCAAUCUAGAUUAAUUUCUUUUUCUCUUGAUUAUAUGCCAUAUUUUCUUUUCUCCAUUUAUGUCUAAAUUUUGGAUUUUAUCCUUGAUUUUGCCAAGGAUAUGUUGUCAAGACUCUAUUCUAUUCUUCUGAUGAACAUUGAAAAAAAUUAGCAGACAGUUAAAUUUAGCAGACAGCCUAAACUCAAAUUCCAAACUCUUGUCUUCUUUGCAGCUUUAUUAGUAGAAUCUCUGUGCAGCUCUUUUUGUCUUAGUUGGGCUCCUUGAGUCUGUUCCAUUCAUAGGGUCAGCCCAAGACUGGGGAAGAGUUUAUCCCCAGAAUACAGAAUUUUCCCUCUCUGACUGUAUUUCUUUAGCAGCAUUCUCACUAACUUUCCACUUGUUUUGUGCACUUCAAACUUUAUCUUCUGGUUCUUCAUACAAGUAAAACUAUAGGGUUAUGUCUGCAUUAUGGUACCUCACAUACUAUUGAUGAGGGCCUGACCUCUGAAAGGAGAGAUGUAAAAACAGGGUCCUUACUGUGAGAUUACCUUCUUCCAAGUUUAUAUUCCCUCUUGCUCCCCUUACCUUCUCCAACACAGCGUUUUCCCGCUUUUUAUUGUUCUCCAAUGCCUUCAGGUAAAUUUCUUCAGAAUGCAUAGUUUUUCUCUGUGGUCUGAUAGAAACUACACCACUGUAACUGAAAAAAAAAAUUCUCUUCAUGUACUUGAAAAGAUGAAGAUAACAUUGCUUUAUAAUAGUGUUUUUAAUUGAUCCAUAAAUCUGUGAUUAAAACAAGAUAUCCCUCAUUAAGUUGUUACCUAGAAUAGAAUAAAUGUGUCCAUAAUCCUGACUGAUCAAGAUCAAAAUGAAAGAGCAAAGCCUAUGUAAUGAUACUACAUUUGAGACUAACUCUCUACUUUCCAAAUUUGUGAUUUGCUUUCUUGUUAUUAACCAUAUUUUCUUGUAAAAUAAUUACAACCAAAUCUAGUACUGUAAUGAAAGUGGUAUAUAAUGUGGCACUAGCACAAACUUCAGCAGCCAAGAACAAUAUGGAGUAGUUUAACAUCAAUUACUCUGCUUUUAUUAAAGAAAAUACAUCUUCUUUUAUAAUUUUUUGAGCUUAAAAUGGCAUCCUAAGAAAAUGAAUCAAGCUCAAACAUAUUCAUUGGUUUCCUCAGGAAUAUAGUGUAGAAAUUUACCUAAACAAGUGAAGAAAAUCAAAAAAUAAUUUUUAUAUUUGCCUGAUUAAAUUAUUAAUUCUAUAUCAUUAGACUAUAGAAUAUAGAUGCUCCCAUGCUACAUUUCAUUUAAACGGUUGUCAUUUUGUGGAAAAUCCCAUUAACCUUUUCUUCUACCCUGCUUAUAGUGAUGAUAACUGAAAUUUGAAAAUAGUGCAAAAUUGGAAAGUCUUGAAUCUCCCCAACUAACUCAGUGACUACAUAGCUAGUUUAUAGGUCAUCAUGUCUUUCUGUGAUUUUUUAAAAAAUACCUUGAUAUACAAGCCUAGAACAAGUCCAUAACAAAUGCUUUUUCUUCUAUAGUCUGCUUGACUCCAUGAAUUUAUUCUGGAAUGAGGUAGAAUAGAAAACAUGAAAAAACACAUACAUUUCUACUUUAAAGAAAUGGUGAUGCAUGGUCCCACUACACUAGCAAAAUAAAAGACUGUGCCAAAGCGGAAAUUAGAGCUAUUCCUACAAUGUUAAACAAAUGCCUUUUUGAGAGAAAGUGAAGGUUUUUUUAUUAUUUGUUUUUCAUCUUCUCAAUAUAAUUUGGUGUGUCCUUAGGCCUGAUUAUUUCAAAAUUGCACAAAUAGAUUUGUAAUAAAAAUGUCAUUAAAAAAAUUCAUUGCAGUCUGGACAAUUUUUGGUCUGCAAGUUUCCAUUCUGACUAGAUUAAUGACUUCAUAUUGAUUUUUACGUGUGUGUUGCUGUAUUUAAAACAUGAUAAUCUGUUGUUAUAUUGAUCAUCUUUCUUUGUUAAAGAUGUGAAAUUACUUUCCAGACUAGUUAUAUAGACAUAGAGAGAUGUUUUCAGUAUCUUCAUGCAAAUGCUAAAACAAAGAAUGUAGUAAAUAAGAUUUAGAAUUUUUCAAUAAGGUAGUGUUUGCUGCUGCUUUUCUUAUUUAUUUGCAGAGUGGCCAAACUAAAUGUUUUUAUCAAAAGUCUCUUGGGUGAAUCCAUCUUCUUGACAACUGCCCCUUAGGAAAAGAUAUGAAAACCAAAUGAACAGGUUUGUUUGUUUGUUUGUUUGUUUGUUUGUUUGUUUUGUGGGAGGCAGCAAUCACCAAAUUACACAAUGAAAAUAUUUAAUUAAAUGAUAUACUUAUUAUUUCAUGUCUAGUUAAAUGGCUGUGAAACAUCAGGAAGCAAGCCAGAAGCAGUCUGUCACGUGAUUAGAAGUACAUGCUCUGAGUUAGUUCUGUUCAGUCCUGGCUCUGUCACUGACUGAAUGGCUGUAGGUGGGUCUCCCAACCUCCCUGCCUUUUUGCUUAUUCAUCUGUGAAGUGGGGUUAGUGUAAAUAUUACCCAACUUACAAUGCCACUGUGAGGAUUAAAUAAAUAAAUAUAUGUGAAGAGCACAAAACAAGGUGAUAAGGGGUUCCCUUCAGCAGAAACAAAUCUGACUACCAUCCAUGAGGAUGCAGGUUUGGUCCCUGGUCUUGCUCAGUGGGUUAAGGAUCCGGUGUUGCCAUGAGCUGUGGUGUAGGCCGGUGGCUAUGCUCUGCUUUGCCCCUGGCCUGGGAACCUACAUAUGCUGAGGGUGUGACCCUAAAAAGACAAAUAAACAAAUAAAAAACAUGGUGAUAAUCAGUAAAUGUUGGCUCUCAUUAUUAGAUGCAAAUCUAGAACACAGCUAUGCAAAAAUAAUGCUCUUCUUUAAGAGCCACCUUUACAAGGACUAAGCUUGGGACCCGCCACUCUGUCAAUUAUUUCUAAAUGCGAGCCAGAAUUGACUAGUAGUAGAAUGCAUCAGUUUUACCUGGGUCAAAAAAUAGAUAUCACACAGGUUACCUGUAUUAUCUGGCUUGGAUUUUUUAUUUUACUUUCCAUAUCACUAUAGAUUGUCCUUAUUUUUGUCUACGAGACUCAAGAUAUGGGUGCUUCAGGGAAACUGAACUUUUUUCUUUAAUCCAUUCCCUAUGUCCUGGAAAAUAAAGGACAGUGACCCUAGGUAACUCAAAUAGCUCAGUGAGAUGAAGCACUGAUUUUAAAAUUGUCAUAUGGGAUUCAGGGAAUACUACUGUGGUUGAAAAAAAUCUACUAUUUUAAAGAACAGAUUGAUCAAUAGAUAAAAGCAAAAGUGAUAAAAAGCAGUUUUGAAGUUCUACCUGAAAGCAUCUACGAUUGUUCAAUGUU